rnacentral:rRNA from 1 species
UACGUAAGGUCCGAGCGUUGUCCGGAAUCAUUGGGCGUAAAGGGUACGUAGGCGGUUAGAAAAGUUAGAAGUGAAAGGCUAUAGCUCAACUAUAGUAAGCAUUUAAAACUGGUCAUCUUGAGGUAUGGAAGGGAAAGUGGAAUUCCUAGUGUAGCGGUGAAAUUCGCAGAGAUUAGGAGGAAUACCGGUGGCGAAGGCGGCUUUCUGGACAUAAACUGACGCUGAGGUACGAAAGCGUGGGUAGCAAACAGG